CCAGGGGGCCGGGCAGCCGCGGGGUUCGCAAGAGCCGCGAGGAAAGUCCGGGCUCCACGAAACAAGGGUGGCGGGUAAUGCCCGCCGGGGGUGACCCCAGGGAAAGUGCCACAGAGAGCAGACCGCCUCUGAGGAGGUAAGGGUGAAAGGGUGCGGUAAGAGCGCACCGGGGUGCUGGUAACAGGACCCGCACGGCAAACCCCACCCGGAGCAAGAUCGAAUAGGGGCGGCACGCUGGCAACAGCAGGUCAGUUUCGGACCCGACCGCCCGGGUUGAUUGCUUGAGCGGUGCAGCAAUGCAUCGCCUAGAGGAAUGGCUGCCAGUGCGGAUACGGUCUCUCUUCAGGGAUACCGUCCGCGCUACAGAACCCGGCUUACAGGCCCCCUGGCGUA
rnacentral:RNase_P_RNA from 1 species